rnacentral:rRNA from 1 species
GACGAACGCUGGCGGCGUGCUUAACACAUGCCAGUCGAACGGAAAGGCCCUGCUUUUGUGAGGUGCUCGAGUGGCGAACGGGUGAGUAACACGUGAGUAACCUGCCCUUGACUUUGGGAUAACUUCAGGAAACUGGGGCUAAUACCGGAUAGGAGCUCCUGCUGCAUGGUGGGGGUUGGAAAGUUUCGGCGGUUGGGGAUGGACUCGCGGCUUAUCAGCUUGUUGGUGGGGUAGUGGCUUACCAAGGCUUUGACGGGUAGCCGGCCUGAGAGGGUGACCGGCCACAUUGGGACUGAGAUACGGCCCAGACUCCUACGGGAGGCAGCAGUGGGGAAUAUUGCACAAUGGGCGGAAGCCUGAUGCAGCAACGCCGCGUGCGGGAUGACGGCCUUCGGGUUGUAAACCGCUUUCGCCUGUGACGAAGCGUGAGUGACGGUAAUGGGUAAAGAAGCACCGGCUAACUACGUG